UACCCGCACUCCUCUCUUCGUCGUCCCCAUCCCCUCUACCCUGUCGUCGUUUCCUUUCCUCAUCAUCGUCGUCAUACCUCCGCGAUCCCUCUCCUCGUCUCUACGUCGUCAUCUCUGCACCCCUCAUCGUUUCGCGCUAUCGUCGUCGUCCAAGUCUCUUCCUCGUCCUGUCGCCCCUACGCCCUUCUUCUUCAUCUUCUCGUCGUUGUUCCAAUCCUCUCCUUCUUUCCACCUCCUCGUCGUCGUCCCCUCCUUCUCUCUUUCUCGUCGUCGCGCCCCCGCAAGUGCGCCUACUGGUCUGCGGGCACGGCGGGAA
rnacentral:rRNA from 1 species